GACGAACCGUGCGAACGUUGUUCGGAAUCACUGGGCUUAAAGGGCGCGUAGGCGGCUUCGCAAGUCCGGGGUGAAAGCCCCCAGCUCAACUGGGGAAGUGCCUUGGAAACUGCGGGGCUCGAGCGAGGUAGGGGUCGUGGGAACUUCCGGUGGAGCGGUGAAAUGCGUUGAUAUCGGAAGGAACGCCGGUGGCGAAAGCGCACGACUGGACCUCUCCUGACGCUGAGGCGCGAAAGCCAGGGGAGCAAACGGG
rnacentral:rRNA from 1 species